GGGAACAGGUUGGUUUGACUCAGAACCACAGCAGCUGGAGGUGGAGCAGAUGAUGGAGUUCUGGUUCCAGUAGAACCGGGUCGACUGGACCAUCAGGAGAAAAACAUCCUUGGAUAUCUCUGCUCCGGCAAAAUGGUCCAACUUCUUCCUAAGGAGGUCAAAGUUCUGCAGAAGUUCUGUUAAUGAACCUUCAUUUCAUUCAGGAGAACUGAACCAAGGAAAGAGCUAAAACGUUCAGGAUACCGGAUCAGAACUUCAAGAGUUCAGACGUCUGCAGGCCGGCCGGCCCGACACACGCAGGAGAAAAACCAACCGUUCUCUGGAGAAAGAAGAUGAUCCGCAAUGCAACACGAAUAACGAGCGCAGAGGGGAAAAUUAAGACCAGGACGGAUUUUUAUUCCGGCGUCUCAUGAAGAGACACGAGGAUCCAGAUGUUUGAUGAUAAGUCCAUCAUCAGGCCGUUUUGUUGCUGGUUUGAAUCAGAUAAAACCUUCAUGUUCCAGUUUGGUUUCAGUCCUGGAAACUUGGGGGAGCAGAACAGAACCGGCUGUAGGAUGAGCUGCAGCGGCUCACUCACUGAAACAUCAGGACAUUAGAGACACAUUUUAUUCUCUUUGUUUGAAGCUAUUUACAGAGUUUACAUGUAAAACCUCCAGAUUUUAGGCCUUCAGGUCAAAUAUGAUAAAAACACUGAAAAACCAGAAUUUAGUAGAAACUAGUUAUGUUUACUUGAGCAACUUCUUGGAAAAUAUGUACUUUUGUUUUUACUGUUACGUACUUUAGCUGAUUUUAUCAUGAAGUAUUGCUACUCUUGAGUAAAAUACCCACCAAAUAUUUACCAAACUCAGACACACAGCUGCAGGUUUUGUAUUUCUAUGUUUUGUUUAGAAAUAAAUUGUUCUUUUGCUUGUUGUUGUUUUUUCAUCACGUUUUGGAUAUAAAUUAUCUUCAUUUUGCUCUUAAAAUACCAAAGUUUCCAGUUAAUUUUAGAUUUGGUCCAUGUGAUGAUGAUGUUCUUGGGUAACUCCACCUUUUCCCCAGUUAACUUACUUUUGUCAUAUUUUCACUGUAAAAACUCUAACAAUGAUUUUUUUUUCAGCAUCUGGUCCAGACAGAACCGGCUCCGUUGAAGAAACAUCAAACUGAAACUGAAGUUCUGCUUUUUCAGAUGAUUUUUCACAGAAAUGAAGAAACUUUCAUCAGAUGAGGAGUUAAAUUUACCUGGGAAGUUUCUGUUGUUGAAAAGCAAAGUCGGGCAGAAACUUUGAUUUGGUGGAACUUCAGCUCAUUAAAGAGACAAAAUUAUGCAGAAGAUUUAUGCCAAGACAUUUCUGGAGUUUCAACUAUGUAAUAAUUCAUAUUUAAAAAAAAAAAAGGCUCAACGUU